rnacentral:tRNA from 1 species
AAAAAGUUAGUUAAACAUAUAACAUAAAUUUGUCAAAUUUAAAUUACUAGUAUAACAAUAGUACUCUUUA